GACGAACGCUGGCGGCGUGCUUAACACAUGCAAGUCGAACGGAAAGGCCCUGCUUUUGUGGGGUGCUCGAGUGGCGAACGGGUGAGUAACACGUGAGUAACCUGCCCUUGACUUUGGGAUAACUUCAGGAAACUGGGGCUAAUACCGGAUAGGAGCUCCUGCUGCAUGGUGGGGGUUGGAAAGUUUCGGCGGUUGGGGAUGGACUCGCGGCUUAUCAGCUUGUUGGUGGGGUAGUGGCUUACCAAGGCUUUGACGGGUAGCCGGCCUGAGAGGGUGACCGGCCACAUUGGGACUGAGAUACGGCCCAGACUCCUACGGGCGGCAGCAGUGGGGAAUAUUGCACAAUGGGCGGAGGCCUGAUGCAGCAACGCCGCGUGCGGGAUGACGGCCUUCGGGUUGUAAACCGCUUUCGCCUGUGACGAAGCGUGAGUGACGGUAAUGGGUAAAGAAGCACCGGCUAACUACGUG
rnacentral:rRNA from 1 species